GCAGGAAUAGCAGAACUGGCAUAUGCAACAAGCUCAAACCUUGUAUUAUUAUGGGUUCGACUCCCAUUUCCUGUA
rnacentral:tRNA from 1 species